rnacentral:rRNA from 1 species
AACGAACGCUGGCGGCAUGCCUAACACAUGCAAGUCGAACGAGACCUUCGGGUCUAGUGGCGCACGGGUGCGUAACGCGUGGGAACCUGCCUUUAGGUUCGGAAUAACUCAGAGAAAUUUGAGCUAAUACCGGAUAAUGUCUUCGGACCAAAGAUUUAUCGCCUUUAGAUGGGCCCGCGUUGGAUUAGCUAGUUGGUGGGGUAAAGGCCUACCAAGGCGACGAUCCAUAGCUGGUCUGAGAGGAUGAUCAGCCACACUGGGACUGAGACACGGCCCAGACUCCUACGGGAGGCAGCAGUGGGGAAUAUUGGACAAUGGGCGAAAGCCUGAUCCAGCAAUGCCGCGUGGGCGACGAAGCCCUUCGGGGUGUAAAGCCCUUUUCCCGGGGACGAAUCUGACGGUACCCGGGGAAGAAGCCCCGGCUAACUACGUGCCAGCCGCCGCAGUAAGAC